rnacentral:rRNA from 1 species
CGAUUUUAGCAUGGAAUAAUGAAUAGGACGUGUGGUUCUAUUUUGUUGGUUUCUAGGACCGCCGUAAUGAUUAAUAGGGACAGUCGGGGGCAUCAGUAUUCAAUUGUCAGAGGUGAAAUUCUUGGAUUUAUUGAAGACUAACUACUGCGAAAGCACUUGCUAAGGAUGUUUUCAUUAAUCAGGAACGAAAGUUAGGGGAUCGAAAACGAUCAGAUACCGUCGUAGUCUUAACCAUAAACUAUGCCGACUAGGGAUCGGACGAUGUUAUUUUUUGACGCGUUCGGCACCUUACAAGAAAUCAAAGUGCUUGGGCUCCAGGGGGAGUAUGGUCGCAAGGCUGAAACUUAAAGAAAUUGACGGAAGGGCACCGCCAGGGGUGGAGCCUGCGGUUUAAUUUGACUCAACACGGGGAGACUCACCAGGUCCAGACACAAUGAGGAUUGACAGAUUGAGAGCUCUUUCUUGAUUUUGUGGGUGGUGGUGCAUGGCCGUUCUUAGUUGGUGGAGUGAUUUGUCUGCUUAAUUGCGAUAACGAACGAGACCUUAACCUGCUAAAUAGCCCGUAUUGCUUUGGCAGCACGCUGGCUUCUUAGAGGGACUAUCGGCUCAAGCCGAUGGAAGUUUGAGGCAAUAACAGGUCUGUGAUGCCCUUAUAUGUUCUGGGCCGCACGCGCGCUACACUGACAGAGUCAGCGAGUACUCCCUUGGGCGGAAGGCCCGGGU